GUAAUUUUAUAGUUCCUGAAAAAGGAACUUGUAUGAUUUUUGACUAAUUACAAAUGACUAAUUACCUCCUUCUUUUCGAAGUCGGUUAAAAAUAAAAUAAAAAGAAAGUCACAAAAUAUGGAAUUUAGGAAGAACGAAGUUGUUUGAUAGCAUGCGAUAAUUGAGGUGGCGCUUAAAUCAGUUUCUGUUCGACCUAAUUUUCGAUGAAACGUUGACUGUUUUACCGACGCGGAAUUCGAAGUUCAGCCUCAACUCGAAAACAGUGUAGCUAGCGUCAUCUGACCGUGAAAUACUACCGAUAAGUAAGUUUUGAAGUUCAUCGAUUAACGUGGCUCUUCUUGUCAGUACAUCUUUAACUUAAGCAGUCCCGCCUCAAUUUGGUCUUCAUCUUCCGUAAGAAGAUCAUCAAUUCUGCACGAUGGAAGGCAAUCCGCGCCUCCGACAGCAACUACUUGCCUCGCAAUCUCUGGAUCUACGCACAGUCUUGUGAGCGCGGCCGCGGCAGUAAUUUCUAAACGUCUGUAAGCGUCUUCUAAGCCCGGGGGUCUCAUUCUGAGAAAGGAAACCAACGCGAUAGAGGCUCGAGCUUCCGCCAGGUGUGGUCGAGCCUCAGGGAUGCGCGCCAGUUCACUGAUAAGAGCUGCCACUUGUUCCAUCAACCAAACGUUUUUUCCAGUCGACUUUUUAACAGUUUUCAACAAUUUCUUUACAGUUCCGUGUUCCAAUAUCACGAAGGCGCACUUCCUGGACUUGGAGAGAUGAUUGAACGCAGCUGCGACCAGUAACAAUGUUUGCCCGCAAUUAGUACUCUCGACUAGACGAUUCAAGGAAGGAAUUAAGUCUUUUGCAAAAGGUUCCAAACAUUUUCUCUGCGAUUAGCAGAUCCGUCAGUAUCUCUGGACCUCCGUCUUUAACGAACUGGUGAAUCGCCGUGGCAGAAGAACACACGCUUGCCAAAGCCCGUAAAGAAGCUGUAACGAAGUCGAUCGACGUCCUUCC